CAGCAGCCACGGGAAUACGUAGGUGGCAAGCGUUGUUCGGAAUUAUUGGGCGUAAAGGGCUCGCAGGCGGUUUCUUAAGUCUGAUGUGAAAGCCCCCGGCUCAACCGGGGAGGGUCAUUGGAAAUUGGGAAACUUGAGUGCAGAAGAGGAGAGUGGAAUUCCACGUGUAGCGGUGAAAUGCGUAGAGAUGUGGAGGAACACCAGUGGCGAAGGCGACUCUCUGGUCUGUAACUGACGCUGAGGAGCGAAAGCGUGGGGAGCAAACAGGAUUAGAUACCCGCGUAGUCCCUGUCUCUUAUAC
rnacentral:rRNA from 1 species